AUAAAUAAGAAUUAUUAAUUUAUUAUAGAUAUAUUCUAUAUCUUUUUUUAGAAUGACAUCAGGUACUGCGAAACACUUUUUGUUGAAAAUAAUAUUUUAAAGAGGCAAUUGCAAGAAUUGCAGCAGCAGCUGGCUAUGGCGAAACAACCACAGCCCGCAGUGGUGGCUGCUGAGAAUACACAGCCUGCAAUGGUGGCUGCUGAGAAUACACAGCCUGCAACGGUGGUAGCUAUUGACGACCCACAGCCUGCAAUGACACCGUCAGAGAAUAUAGAAAAAAAUACAUUCCAAUUAAAACAGAAAGCUCGAUGGGCAAGAGCCGGAAGAGGUCGAGAACGCGGACGCGGCCGUGGACGCGGGCGUGGACGCGGCCGUGGCCGCGGACGCGAAAGCAGAAUUAUAAAUUAUAUUACCAUGUAAUAUCUAACAUUUCUUCUUCUUAAAUAAAUUAUUUUUUGCAAAAA